rnacentral:rRNA from 1 species
AUUGAACGCUGGCGGCAGGCCUAACACAUGCAAGUCGAACGGUAGCACAGAGAGCUUGCUCUCGGGUGACGAGUGGCGGACGGGUGAGUAACGUCUGGGAAACUGCCCGAUGGAGGGGGAUAACUACUGGAAACGGUAGCUAAUACCGCAUAACGUCGCAAGACCAAAGUGGGGGACCUUCGGGCCUCACACCAUCGGAUGUGCCCAGAUGGGAUUAGCUAGUAGGUGGGGUAAUGGCUCACCUAGGCGACGAUCCCUAGCUGGUCUGAGAGGAUGACCAGCCACACUGGAACUGAGACACGGUCCAGACUCCUACGGGAGGCAGCAGUGGGGAAUAUUGCACAAUGGGCGCAAGCCUGAUGCAGCCAUGCCGUGUGUAUGAAGAAGGCCUUCGGGUUGUAAAGUACUUUCAGCGGGGGGGAAGGCGGUGAGGUUAAUAACCUCGCCGAUUGACGUUACCCGCAGAAGAAGCACCGGCUAACUCCGUGCCAGCCGCCGCCGUAA